GCCUGGCUGGCUCAGUCGGUAGAGCAUGUGACUCUUGAUCUCUGGGUGUGAGAUCAAGCCCCACAUUGGGUU
rnacentral:tRNA from 1 species